GGACCCUCCUGCCUCUGCUUCCUGAGUACUGCCCCUGAAGGCAGGCACUACCCCCACCUAGCUUUAGUUUUUAAACUGGUGUCUGGAUGCAUGUGCCUGUGUGUCUGUGUGUGUGUGUGUGUGCCGUGAGCGUGUGUGUGUGUUCUUGAAGUCCAGAGAGUGAACUCUGGAAGAUCAGCAAAUACUUUCAACCACAGCGCCAUCUCUCAAGCCCCCGCUUUGGUUUACACUGUGCGUUCAUAGGGAGGUCAGAGGACAGCUUGUAGGAAUCAGUUCUUGACUUCCCCCAUAUGGGUUCCCGGGAACACACUCAGGUUGUCACUCGUGCCCAUUUCACCAGCGCCAUCUUGUUUGGGGGGCCAGUGUUUCAGAUAAGCUAAUGAACCCACGAGCUUCCAGGACAGUUUUCCUGUCUCCACCUUCUACAUCACCUUAGGAGUGCCAGAGUUACAGAUGUGAGCCACCUGUCUGGCUUGUUGUGGAUUUCAGGGUUCAGACUCAGGUUGCCAGGCGUGAAUGGCAAGCGCCCUUGUCCUCCUCACGGUCCCCGCCCCGUAGCCGCUUGUAGCAGAAAGUAUUUUACUGCAAUGGUUCUUUGCAAAUUCCUGACCACUACCUCUCGCCUUCUUCACAGAUUUCCUCUCCUUUCCUUCAUCGGCCAGGCAGAACUCCACUUUCUAUCCUGAACCCCCUUCUUGUCUGUCUCUCCUUCCCAUUUGGCAAGAUCUUCUACAGUGGAGCCACUCCCAUCAAUGGUUUUUUGAGACAAGACCUUGUGUAGCCCGGGUUGGCUUCAAACUGUCUGUACAGCCCAGGCUGGCUGAGAAUUCCUCAUCCCGGUAUGACAGAUGUGAGCCACCACACCCAGCCUUCCCAGGAUUCGGAAUCCUCUUCCCCAAAGUGGAGAUCAGAGGCAAGGUCUGGGAGGCAAGACCGAAGUUUGAGGUAGACGAGCAGGCGAGCCGUUUGCCCGGGCGCAGAGCAUGAAGGCCGGGCGGGCGCGGGGAGCGGGCGCCCGCCGCCCGGCGCGGGGGUGAGCGAGAGAGAGAGCGGAGCGCGUGUGGCCGGCGCCGCUCGGCCUGGAGCUCCCGC
rnacentral:lncRNA from 1 species